rnacentral:tRNA from 1 species
GGUUCCAUGGUGUAGCAGUUAGCACAUCUGCUUUAUGUACAGAAGGUCCUGGAUUCACACCCCAGCGGAGCCA